rnacentral:rRNA from 1 species
CCUACGGGAGGCAGCAGUAGGGAAUUUUCGUCAAUGGGCGCAAGCCUGAACGAGCAAUGCCGCGUGAACGAGGAAGGUCUUCGGAUCGUAAAGUUCUGUUGAAGGGGAAAAAGAGCGGAGAGAGGAAAUGCUUUCUGAUUGAUAUUACCCUUCGAGGAAGUCACGGCUAACUACGUGCCAGCAGCCGCGGUAAUACGUAGGUGGCGAGCGUUAUCCGGAAUGAUGGGGCGUAAAGGGUGCGUAGGCGGCCUGCUAAGUCUGGAGUGAAAGGUACCGGCUCAACCGGUACAGGCUCUGGAAACUGGCGGGCUAGAGAGCAGGAGAGGGCGGUGGAACUCCAUGUGUAGCGGUAAAAUGCGUAGAUAUAUGGAAGAACAUCAGUGGCGAAGGCGGCCGCCUGGCCUGUUAACUGACGCUGAGGCACGAAAGCGUGGGGAGCAAAUAGGAUUAGAUACCCCUGUAGUC